UUGACCUCGNAUCAGGUAGGGAUACCCGCUGAACUUAAGCAUAUCAAUAA
rnacentral:rRNA from 1 species